rnacentral:misc_RNA from 1 species
UUUCCGUAGGUGAACCUGCGGAAGGAUCAUUAUAAAUGAAAAACGAAUAACUUCAGGGAAGAAGUGAACCUGCACGGUGACCUCCCCUGUCGGGCCACCCAAUACCUUCAAAAUGCCGCCGUCCUAGCGGUGGCAGACGAAAAAAAAACAAGAAAAACAAAAUAGAAACAGGCACGGUGGCCCGUUCACCUUCACACAACCCUCCGAGUACCGCUUCCAUGUUGCUUCCCCGCAAAUCCACCUCUUUGGUGAGCGCGGGGGAGGUCCGCAUCAAAUUAACCUGAAUGUCACAGCAGUCAGACAGCCAUUCAUGGAAACAAUAAAACUUUCAACAACGGAUCUCUUGGUUCCC